UAGGCGGGGAUUUCCGUCGCGGUCGAAAGACUGAGGAAAGUCCGGACAAGAAAGGGCAUCGCACUGCGGAAAGCGCAGGUGGGGGUAACCUUACGUACGCCGUAACAGAGAAUUACCGCAGAAAUGCAAGGGUGAAAACGCGAGGUAAGAGCUCACGACUUCGGGUAGCGAUACACGAGGGGUACGGCACUGCGACUUGCAAAACCAAAUAUACUGACAGAUGAGGGCUGCCCGUCCGAUGUCAGGGGGUAGGUUGCGAAGAUAAAUGACGGAU
rnacentral:RNase_P_RNA from 1 species